rnacentral:rRNA from 1 species
CCUACGGGUGGCAGCAGUGGGGAAUAUUGCGCAAUGGGCGAAAGCCUGACGCAGCGACGCCGCGUGAGGGAUGAAGGUCUUCGGAUCGUAAACCUCUGUCAGCAGGGAAGAACGGUCACUGUGCUAAUCAGCAGUGAAUUGACGGUACCUGCAAAGGAAGCACCGGCUCAAUCCGUGCCAGCAGCCGCGGUAAUACGGAGGGUGCGAGCGUUAAUCGGAAUUACUGGGCGUAAAGCGCUCGUAGGCGGUAUGUCAAGUCAAGGGUGAAAUCCCCGCGCGCAACGUGGGAACGGCCUUUGAAACUGGCAAACUGGAGUGUGUGAGAGGAUAGUGGAAUUCCAGGGGUAGGAGUGAAAGCCGUAGAUAUCUGGAGGAACAUCAGUGGCGAAGGCGACUAUCUGGCACAUAACUGACGCUGAGGAGCGAAAGCGUGGGUAGCAAACAGGAUUAGAUACCCUAGUAGUC